rnacentral:rRNA from 1 species
UACGUAGGAGGCGAGCGUUGUCCGGAGUUACUGGGCGUAAAGGGUGCGCAGGCGGCCGCGCGCGUGGAUGGUGAAAUCUCCCGGCUCAACUGGGAGGGGCUGUUCAGACGGCGUGGCUUGAGGCUCGGAGGGGGCGUGGAAUUCCGGGUGUAGCGGUGGAAUGCGUAGAGAUCCGGAAGAACACCGGUGGCGAAGGCGGCCCGCUGGGCAGGAAGGCCCCUCACGGGGCCGCUGACGCUGAGGCGCGACAGCGUGGG